AUUAAAUAUUUGCCUGUGUCGUACACUGCAUACAGAGCGUGCACACGGUCUCUUCUAGGAUCUGAGGGCAUAUUUUCAGCAGGUCAUCGCCGACCUCCACGCUCGUCACGGCCCGGAUCGUAUUUUACGGGUGAAGGGAUUUCACAGCACCUUCGCGAGCACCCCCGAUUCCAUUCUCGACUUGGCCUGGUCCGGUUCAAAUCCCGAGCACGUGUACCGGAUCCGGCGCCUUCGAAAAAAAUCUCACGCGGGAAAGGAUCGUCUUACUUUCCCGAUGACGACGCGGAGCGAAGUGACAACGCGGCUUCACGUGUCCGAAAGGUGCUGAAUGCGCACUCGUCGGUUGAAAGGCUUCAAAACUCACAUCGGUUCAUCCCCCCAUCCAUUCUUCAGACGAAAGUGAAGAGAGCCAUGAAAUGGAAAUGGCCACAUUGCACGCCUGGUUGCCUUGGUGAAUUACUGAUAGCGUCAGACAAAGUUUAGUCAGGAUCUCUAAAGAGGAUUUCACGCACAAAAGAACUACAGAGAUGCAUCGGAGUGCGAACGGCCACGUUUCACAAAAUCUCAG
ensembl:lncRNA